AUUGUGUGUGCGCGUGUCGAACUCAAAAUUGAAUUAUGGAAUCAAAGUCACAUCAUAACCCACCUAUUGCGUAUAUUUUGAAGCCCGAACUCAAUUCUUAAAUUCGAGAAGGGAAAAAGACCGAGAAGCAGAUGAGAGCUGCAUCACUAAUAGACGGGAAGGAGAUAUGGCCUUCCCUUUGAGAAAUAUGAAUCUUAGUGGCUCCAAAAAUCUGGUCAAGUUGCCUGAUUUCAAAAGAUUUCCAAAUCUUAAGCGAUUAGACCUUGAAGGAUGCACGCAAUUAUCACGGCUUGAUGUAUCUAUUGCUUAUCUUUCAAUUCUCAAAUUCUUAAAUUUGAGAAAUUGUAUUAAUCUAGUUAGUAUUCCAAAUCACUUAUUUUCUCUACCCUCUUUAAAAGUUUUAAAUUUAGCUGGUUGUUCCAAAUUUGCAUAUUGUUUGAAAUUUUGUCCUUUUGAGGAGCGUGAUGAAAGAGAAGCCAUUGAACAAUCAUUUUCCCACAGGAGACAGAAGCUAUGUAGACAAAAAUCUAUAUAAGUGUGCUUUGUAUUCAGUAAUGCUGUAUCAUUUAUUACUUACUGAUUUAUUCUUCCAUCUAUGCUA